rnacentral:rRNA from 1 species
GACAGAGGUGGCAACCGUUGUUCGGAAUCAUUGGGCUUAAAGCGCGCGUAGGUGGCCUUGUAAGUGUCUUGUGAAAUCCCACUGCUCACCCGUGGAACUGCAGGGCAAACUGCAAGACUUGAGGUCGGUAGAGGGGCCUGGAACUCUAGGUGGAGCGGUGAAAUGCGUAGAUAUCUAGGGGAACGCCGGAGGCGAAAGCGGGGCGCUGGGCCGAUUCCGACGCUGAUGCGCGAAAGCGUGGGGAGCAAACAGG